CUCUGUUGAUGUCUGAGAUUGUGGAUAUUCCAGAUGACAGCUCCCCAUCUGAGGACUCCUGCCUCAUGGAAGUGAGUGUUGGUGUGCGGGCACGGCCACGGGGGGGCAGCGAGGGAGGGGAGGGGGGAGAGUACGCCAGCCUUCGUUCUUUCACACAACAUCCUGAAGGAAUGGUGGCUCCUUCCGGAAGACCUUGUUUCAGAGGCGAGAGAUCGAACUCCUGCUCCUCCCCGAGCACGUACCACACCUCUACCUACAGGUCUCCAGUGUUGAGGCGUCAAGCUCUGUUGGCAAGUAGCUGCUCUCAGUUGGAGUUCCUAGCAGGAUCUCAGCAUUCCUCCAUCCCAGAAAUCCGAGUUCGGCCCUGCACACCUUCCCGACGGGACUCCUCAUCUGCAUUUAGUAACCCACCUACCACAGCCCCAACAGGUCCUGCUCAAGACCGGCCGGACCACACAGUACUUCCGCGGCCAGGUUUACGCGAGCAAAUUGGAAAUGAUAGAAAAGACAGCAACAGCUUCUUACCUCUCAUGAGGUCACACAGUGAACCAGGACUCAGCUCUUCAACUGACACAGGUGAUUUCAGUCUCUCAGGAGGCAAUAAAGGAGUCAGUGAGGGGGGAUCGCAGACCUCAUCAGAAACAGGGGUAUUGUCUGGAGCUGGUUUGCUGCCUCGCUCCUCUCUGGCACUUCCUGCUUCCCUGCCCAGAAAAGACAGCAUUAAGGCUAUAAGUAGCCGGUUGCCCUCAAAACAAGUCCCAGCCACCUCGCUGCGUUUACCCAAAGACUGUGCACGCUCACUUGGAGACCUCAAGGUCACCAAAGUUUUAGUGCAACGUUUCCUGCAGAGAUCCAAACGUAACUUAGCCCCUGCAACUGAGCAUACCGGAAACUGUACUCAGGGGCCUAAAAGGAGGACAGCAGGCGAUGGAAGUCUGCCGUUAGAACAGGUACUUCGUAACUCUCUGGGGGCCAACAGGGGGCAGCAGCAGCACGUCCACCACUACUGCCGUGGACACCAUCACUCCUAUAGUGACAGUCGCCAUAAUGCCCGCCGCCAUGAUGACGACCCUGUAAGGGCCGGGGGAAUCCACUUGCGUAGCUGCGGAGAUCUCAGCUCGACAUCCGUUGCAUCACUGCGCAGAAUCCACCCACCGUCGCAAGAAUCAUCAGGAGCUCUUUACUCAGAAUCUGCCCUCUGAAAUGGGGUGAGGGACUCUGGAAUAAAUCACAGCUGAAUUCAGGAGAGGGGGCAGAGAAAAUCUGAGGAAAGAAUAACAGGUUUAAGAUGAGGAAUUUAUCCUGCUGAAGGGAUGAUGUGAAGCAUGCUGUUUGAAAAACAGUAUAUGUACCUUUGGUGAAGAUUUUAGCUGUUCUUACCAUAAUAAGACCGAACACUACACCCGAUAUAACAGAGUUUAACCCAUCAGACCCUCUGCUCUCUGUGCCUGACAAACUCCGGUCUUUCUGUUUUGUAUUUCCAUGUAUUUUUUGCUACAUCUAGUGCUUUUUUCUAGUGCACUCACUGUUUACAUGGAUAUGGAAAGAAUGAACACUGUUCCUGGUCUUCACAGCUCAUUACAAUGCACUCAUGCAACUACAAACAUACAACCCUAUGUUUGGCUGUAACUAUGUUGUGAACUUGGGGGAAUUGAAAGGAAUAAUUAAAGGAAUUAAAUGGAUUUAAGGGAAUACACAAAAAGAAAAAGAACAGUAAAAGAAGCAGGAUAAAAGUAUUUGUAAAGUAUCAGUUCAAUUUGACUUAUUUGCAAAUAGUAUGUUAAUUUAAAAUAGG
rnacentral:lncRNA from 1 species